AUUUCUCCUCUGCUAAUUAGUUUGGUAUAAUCCUCUAUUUCUAUUUUUUGUGUGUGGUUAUGCAUACUUAACUUACUAUCUCUAAAAAUCUACUUUUCUCUUCCCAAACAAAUAACACUUUAACUUCCUUGCUUUAAUUUUUUAUUGCUACCCAAAUGAGACAUUACUCUUUUUAUAUAAUCAAUACUUGUUUUGAUUUUUUUUUUUUUACAUUCACCUAAUUCUGUGUUCAUUAUUUCUUCAUGCAUCUCAGACUGUCACAGGUAGGACUGUUUUCCUUUCUGAAAUACAGUUGUCCUUUAAACAACGUCUGGGCUGGGGCACCAAACCUUUGCACAGUAAAAAUCUGCAUAUAACACAUAGUCUGCCCUUCUUAUAUGUGGUUCCUCACGGCUCCUCCAUAUCCGUGGCUCCACAUCUGCACAUUCAACCAACUGUGGAUCGUUUAAUAUUGUAGUAUUUACUACUGAAAAAAAUCCACAUAUACAUGGACCCGCGCACUUCAACCCUGUGUUGUUUGAGGGUCAGCUGUACUUCCUUUGCAAGUUUCUUUUAGAUACGGGGAUCUAGUGGUAAUGAACUCUGUUUGUCUACAACCAUAGAAUUUUCUGUCCUGCAACACAGAAGAUCAGAAGCAUUUAGCCAUCUAAACCACUACCACCAACCGGUACUCAGGCCUCGGGACCAGAUGAGCUGCAUGCAGGUCCGCUCAGCUGUGUGCUUUCUCUGGCUCUGCUCCUGACAAACUUGAGGCUCCAGUGUGGUUAUAAGGAUAAACUCCAGACAGAAAUACAUGCUCAUUAAUGACACAUGACCACUUUUGUGUACUGCAAAGAAACCUAGGAAGUGUGGAACAUGCAUAGAAAGUGAGUGAUUCAGAUACAGUACUUAAAACCAAGGGAACUCAUGCUUUAAUAGACACUGAAAUCACAAAGGAAGGCCAAGUGCCUCAGCAAUCUCAAUAAAAAUAUGAAGUUCUUUUUACAUGGUAAAUUUCAUAAUAUAAAAAGUUUAAUGCCAUCUGGAAACUCAUUUACAAAAGAAGUCCACAUAGGCCAAAGAUGGCUAACACUGCAUACAAGGGGCAUGAGUGCCAAGUGGGGAAGGUGUCUGAGGAGGGGAGAUGUGACCACGUGUGUCCUUACAUGGAACAUCUUUGAAGGGUCUGGCACAGACAUGGGCCCAGUUCACAAAGCACAUGUACAAUUCUUUAGGUAAAACAACAAAAUAUGUGAUGAAAAUUAUACAUUUUUCACAUUCUGCCUACUUAAUAAAUGCAAACCAAAUUAUUGUGUGGCAUUUUUUCCAGCCUGAACUGAAACUAACGAAGUGACUGUUCUCCUUGUGGUGGGGGUGGUGGCAGGACAGGCACUGAGCUGGGGACUUGCCAAGGUGACCGCCUACCAGGAUUCACGGGGACAGACAAGCACAGCGAGGACAGCGUGUGCAGCAGCGCAUGGACCAGGGACCGUUUCAAGUGGAUGGAGAACCAUGACCAUUUUUGUACAAAAAUCCUGUUGAAGAAUCACAUCAAAGAUGAGAAGCGCAGGGAGUUCCAAGAAGAAGAGUCCACUUAAAGAAUACUGUCCAGGACAGACACUGGCCACUCCGUUCGGCACUGGGUCCAAUAUUUAAAGCCAGUGCAGGGGAAGGUGGAAGCUUCUCAAGGGCAAGGACAGUGUCUCCACGCGUGGUCAGUGUCUGCCACAAGGGCUCUGAGAUGAGCGCUCUCUGAUGCUGAUGCUGCAGAAUCUGCUGUAUUGGCUGAACUGCCCUGCAGGAACUCCACUCCUCUCUGCCAGAGCCCGAGGGGCUGCUCCUGAGCCUAACAGUUCUAAUGAGACACGGAGCUGGCACAGCCAAGGGCAGGAGCCUCCUGAGCAGGAGGCUGCCUAACGAGCUGUUGCCACAGCACUUAGACAGCAGGGGCCAUUACAGAGGCAACCAGCAUGUCUCCCAGGAAGAAUGUAGGAGGAAGAAGCCAAACAGACACCAGAGCCAGUGCUGUGUCCAUAGGUGGUGCCACCGAGCAAGGAGUUAGGGCCUGGGAGCCUCAGCAUGGAACGUCUUCACUCAC